GGGGGGGGGGGGGGGCGGGCUGAGGGGAGGCAGGGCGAGCGGUGGAGGGACCGGUGGGUGCGGGUUCUGGAUGAGUGGCGAACGGGUGAGUAACACGUUAGGAAGCUGCGCCCUUCUUCUGGAUAACCGGAGGAAAGGGUGGCGAAUACGGGCUGUUCUGCGCCUGGGGCGUGGUGGGUGGGGGGAAGGUGGGGAUUGUGUGGGGGGUGGGCGCGCGGCCUAUCAGAUUGUUGGUGGGGUGAUGGCCUAGCAAGGGGGUGACGGGUAGCCGGCCUGAGAGGGUGGACGGUCACACUGGGACUGCGACACGGCCCAGACUCCUACGGGAGGCAGCAGUGGGGAAUAUUGCACAAUGGGCGCAAGCCUGAUGCAGCGACGCCGCGUGAGGGAUGGAGGCCUGCGGGUUGUAAACCUCUUUCGCCAGUGAAGCAGGCCUGUCCCUUUUGUGGGUGGGUUGACGGUAGCUGGAUAAGAAGCGCCGGCUAACUACGUG
rnacentral:rRNA from 1 species